GGUUUUAGAUCCGUUCUGGCCUCGUCGGAAAGGGGCCCAAGCGUGAGUUUGGUCAGUAACUCCGCUGAAGUGAUCCAGAUUAAGAAGAAGUUCUUCCUGAAGCACGCCGACGAAACUGUCUUAAGUCACAUCAAGAUGAAGUACACACCAUGGCCGUCCCAGGAGGACGUCCUCGCGAGUCUGUGGAAGGAGCACCAAUGGGAGGACUUCAAGCGGGACGCACUAUACCGCGCGGUCAGCAGCGUCACCUCGCGACAGGCCGUGCAAAUGCAGAGACCCAAAACUACAAAAACGAAUUGAUGGAAAUAUUGUUUAAUGGAGCAACAGAGUUUCUUAUUGCCCAAGUUUUAUGGAUCGGUUGGCACGAGGAAAAGGAGGUUUGUCCUGAGUCUGGACAAGUGUUCAUAACUGUGACAAUCGACCUCUGGAACAGUUGUUGUUGCUGGCACAUGCUGCUUAGUACUUCGCUGCUACCCCUUUCUGUUUUUUUUUUACAGAAUUGGCAUUUCAGUUGCUGUCAAGAUCUGGUAGAAAAUACUUAUACAAGGUGAUAUACACCUGAGCCAUUUGUUUUUUCUUGAAAUGAAUUGUAUCUGGGGCUGGGCCCUUAAAAAUUGAAAGUUGUUCCGUCGAUGA